GUCAAUUUUGUUGCUGACACAAUUGCAGAGUCUGUCUGAAUAUGGAUGGAAUUCCACUGAAUCUUCGUAGCGUCACUGCUGAAGGGCAUUUGCAAUGGAUUCAGAGACUGAGCGCUGAUUCAAAUUAAGUCCUGGCAAACACAGAAUAACUACUAGGAAUUAUUCUGUUCCUUGGGAAGAAUUUCCCAGGCUUUGUUCUUGAAGUCAUUAUUCCAGUUAAAGGGUUUGGAGGGGGGAAAGUUCUCCUUGCAAGAACCUGGGAACCCUUUAAGCAUUUGAAUAGUGCGAUGAAUUGAAUUCCUUUUGCAAGAGGAGUGCACUGGAAGAAUUCAGCACCUAAUCAAUUGGAGAAGCUGGACUUGGCUCAUCAUAAAGUCGUUGUAAAUGAGAACCAGUUGUUGAAAUGAAAUCAGAGAGACUAUCUUGCAAAUUGCUGCUGACUGUUUAUGCAUAUGUGAACAUAAGAACAUAAGAGGAGCCAUGUUGGAUCAGGCCAAUGGCCCAUCCAGUUCAACACUCUGUGUAACACAGUGGCCAAUGUUCUUAGUUAUAUAAAUCUGUGUAGUGUUCUAUAUGGUAAAAGGCUUCAAGUUAAAGAAAUUCUGUUGUAAAUUAAUUUGUCUUGCAAGUUUUGUUCCUGAUUUUAGACCCAUAUAACCAAUGCAAGGAAACUACUCAUGCAGGCAUAGUUUAUACAGGCAAGAAACAUGUUUGCUUCUCUCUUUCAGGCAUGCUGCCAUGCUAUUACUAGAAACACUGCACGCAUAAACCUCUUGGGACAAUCAUAUUGGAUGGGAUACUCAACUAACUUUUCUGGUUUGGGGGAGAUCUUUGAUGGGCAUGUAUUUGCUGAGUCCCUUUCUCUCCCCGUUGCUGCUUAUUUUGAUUUCUGCACACUAGGAAAAUAAAGCACUGAAAAGAGGCAGGUCGGAUGAUGUCAUGAAUGUUCAAAAUAAUUCAUAUUUGGAGCUUUAAUAAUAUUACAGAAUAGGUAUCCUUUGGUUCAAAUCUUGAUUCUUUAUUUGCUGGAUGCAUUUUCCA